UACGUAGGGUGCAAGCGUUGUCCGGAAUUAUUGGGCGUAAAGAGCUCGUAGGCGGUUUGUCGCGUCGACUGUGAAAACCCGAGGCUUAACCUCGGGCCUGCAGUCGAUACGGGCAGACUAGAGUUCGGUAGGGGAGACUGGAAUUCCUGGUGUAGCGGUGAAAUGCGCAGAUAUCAGGAGGAACACCGAUGGCGAAGGCAGGUCUCUGGGCAUUAACUGACGCUGAGGAGCGAAAGCAUGGGGAGCGAACAGG
rnacentral:rRNA from 1 species